rnacentral:tRNA from 1 species
GGAGAUAGGGCUCAGUGGUAGAGCACUUGCCUAUCAUGCACCAAGUCCAGGGUUCAAUUCCCAGUGCUGCCA